GAGCUGGCAGUCCAGGAAUAAAAACCUUUCCCACCUUUAAGCAAUAAAAACCUAUGUCAUUAUAUUUGAAGAACACUUCUUCUUAUAACCAACAUAUAUAGUUGGGCUGUACUUUCUAAUCUCUUCCGCUAGUCUCUGUUAUUUGUGUUAGACCAUUGUAUUUAAUUAGUGGCCUAGUGGGAUUUAAAUCUGCCAUUUAAUAUUUGUUUUCUGUAUGUUCCCACUUUCUUUGCUCAUCCAGAAGAAGCAACUCUUCAAGUUUGAUCAUAAGAUUUUGGCAAUUCUGUUCAAGUUUGGCAGUUCUGUUCAGGUUUAAUCAUAAGAUCUUGGCAAUUUAGUCACAUCUUCAGGCUCUACUUCUAAUUCAAAUUCUCUUGCUAUUUCCACCACAUCUGCAGUGACUUCCUCCACUGAAGUUUUGAGCCCCUCAAAGUCACCCAUGAGGGUUGGAAUCAACUUCUUCCAAGUUCCUGUUUAUGUUGAUAUUUUGUCCUCCUCCCAUGAAUCAUGAAUAUUCUUAAUGGCAUCUAGAAAGGUGAAUCCUUUCCAGAAGGUUUUUUUUUUUUUUUUUUUUUUUUUUUUGAGAUGGAGUCUCCCUCUGUUGCCCAGGCUGGAGUGCAGUGGCGCAAUCUCGGCUCACUGCAAGCUCUGCCUCCUGGGUUCAUGCCAGUCUCCUGCCUCAGCCUCCCGAGUAGCUGGAACUACAGGCACACGCCACCACGCCCGGCUAAUUUUUUGUACUUUUAGUAGACACAGGGUUUCACUGUGUUAGCCAGGGUGGUCUCGAUCUCCUGACCUCGUGAUCCACCUGCCUCGGCCUCCCAAAGUGCUAGGAUUACAGGCGUGAGCUGCCGCACCCGGCCCAGAAGGUUUUCAAUGGACUUUGCCAGAUCUCUUAGAGGAAUCACUAUCUAUGGCAGCUCUAGUUAAGUAAUGUAUUUCAUAGUAAGACUUGAAAGUCAAAAUUACUCCUUCACAGGCUGCAGAACAGAUAUGUCAGCAGGCAUGAAAACAACAUUCAUCUCCUGUACAUCUCCCUCAGAGCUCUUAGAUGACCAGGUGCACUGUCAAUGAGCGGUAAUAUUUUGAAAGGAAUCUUUUUUCUGAGCAAUACGUCUCAACAGUGGGCUUGACACAUUCAGUAAACCAUGCUAUAAACAGGUGUGCUGCCAUCCAGUCUUUGUCGCUCCAUUUAUAGAGCCCAGGCAGAGCAGACUUGGUAUAAUUCUUAAGGGCCCUAAGAUUUUUGAAAUGGUAAAUGAGCACGGGCUUCAACUUUAAGUCACCAGCUGCAUUAGCCCCUAACAAGAGGGUCAGACUGUCCUUUGAAGCCAGGCACUGACUUCUCCUCUCAGGUUAUGAAAGUCCUAGAUGGCAUCUUCUUCCAACAGAAAGCUGUUUCAUCCACACUGAAAAUCUGUUUAGUGUAGCCACCUGCAUCAAUUAUCUUAGCAGCUUCUACAUCAGCACAUGCUGCUUCACCUUGCACUUUUGUGUUAUAGAGAGGGCUUUUUUCCUUAAACCUCAAGAAUCAACCUCUGUUAGCUUACAACUUUUCGUCUGCAGCUUCUUCACCUUUCUUGGCCGUCACAGAAUUAAAGAGAGUUAGGGCCUUGCUGUGGAUUCGACUUCAGCAUAAGGGAAUGUUAUGGCUGGUUUGAUCUUCUGUCCAGACACUAAAACUUUCUUCAUAUCAGCGAUAAGGCUGUUUCGCUUUAUCAGUUGCCAUGUUCACUGAAAUAGCACUUUUAAUUUCCUUCGAGAGCUUUUCCUCUGCAUGCGCAAGUUGGCUCUUGUGCACAGGUGGUCUGGCUCUCAACCUAUCUCAGCUUUCAACACGCCUUCCUCACGAAGCUUAAUCAUUUCUAGUUUUUGAUGUAAAGUGAGA
rnacentral:lncRNA from 10 species